GAUGAACGCUGGCGGCGUGCCUAACACAUGCAAGUCGAGCGAACGGACGAGAAGCUUGCUUCUCUGAUGUUAACGGCGGACGGGUGAGUAACACGUGGAUAACCUACCUAUAAGACUGGGAUAAGUUCGUGAAACCGGAGCUAAUACCGGAUAAUAUUUUGAACCGCAUGGUUAAAAAGUGAAAGACGGUCUUGCUGCCACCUAUAGAUGGAUCCGCGCUGCAUUAGCUAGUUGGUAAGGUAACGGCUUACCAAGGCGACGAUGCAUAGCCGACCUGAGAGGGGGAACGGCCACACUGGGACUGAGAGGCGGUCCAGACUCCUACGGGAGGCAGAAGUAGGGAAGCGUGCGCAAAGGGCGAAAGCCUGACGGAGCAGCGCCGCGCGGGUGAUGAAGGUCUGCGGAGCGUAAAACUCUGUUAUUGGGGAAGAACAUAUGUGUAAGUAACUGUGCACAUCUUGACGGUACCUAGUCAGAAAGCCACGGCUAACUACGUG
rnacentral:rRNA from 1 species